rnacentral:rRNA from 1 species
AGAGUUUGAUCAUGGCUCAGAUUGAACGCUGGCGGCAGGCUUAACACAUGCAAGUCGAACGGUAACAUGAGUGCUUGCACUUGAUGACGAGUGGCGGACGGGUGAGUAAAGUAUGGGGAUCUGCCAAAUGGAGGGGGACAACAGUUGGAAACGACUGCUAAUACCGCAUAAAGUUGAGAGACCAAAGUACGGUUCCGAAAGGACGUGCGCCAUUUGAUGAACCCAUAUGGGAUUAGCUAGUUGGUGGGGUAAAGGCUCACCAAGGCGACGAUCAGUAGCUGGUCUGAGAGGACGACCAGCCACACUGGAACUGAGACACGGUCCAGACUCCUACGGGAGGCAGCAGUGGGGAAUCUUAGACAAUGGGGGCAACCCUGAUCUAGCCAUGCCGCGUGAGUGAUGAAGGCCUUAGGGUUGUAAAGCUCUUUCAGCUGGGAAGAUAAUGACGGUACCAGCAGAAGAAGCCCCGGCUAACUCCGUGCCAGCAGCCGCGGUAAUACGGAGGAUGCGAGCGUUAUCCGGAUUUAUUGGGUUUAAAGGGUCCGUAGGCGGGUUGAUAAGUCAGCGGUGAAAACCUGCAGCUUAACUGUAGAACUGCCGUUGAUACUGUUAAUCUUGAAUAGUAUUGAAGUAGCUGGAAUGUGUAGUGUAGCGGUGAAAUGCAUAGAUAUUACACAGAACCCCGAUUGCGAAGGCAGGUUACUAAAUACCGAUUGACGCUGAUGGACGAAAGCGUGGGGAGCGAACAGGAUUAGAUACCCUGGUAGUCCACGC